UGGAAGAUUGAUGUUGUUGGGUACCUCAGCCUUCUCCUUGUCUGUUGUUCCCAGCUCAGUGCUGCUGGUAAGCAGCAUCGCACACAGAGUGCAGCCACGUUGAUCAGAGAAAGGAGUGCAGGUUUGUGAAAGAGGCACAUCUGCAGGGCAGCGCCUUCAUUACCGCUUUGUGUCCCACAGGUGGCAGCAGGCUGCGGCACUCCCGAGCGCCGUAACGACCGCAUGGAGAUGCGUGGCUCUUAUGGGAACAGCAAGGAACCGGAAUCUGCAUUUCCUGGAAUGCCCGGAACCCCGCUUUGCUGGCCGGUAAUUGUCUGCCCAGCAGGUGAAGAUGCCUUCGACGCUUCCAGUCGAUGACUUCCCCCCUGCGAUGCCAUCGGCUUUCCAGGCCUCCCACACUCACCGCCAGCUCGGUUCGGUCAACCGUUACCCGAAUCCCCGCUCCGUUCCCUUUCCAUGAUCUUCCCGUCACUCUGCCACAAGCCCCUACCAAGGUCAUCGCAGGCAGCGUGUGGGAUGCGGCGCUCGGUCUCAUUGCAGUUCAUCCCAUGGGCCUCAGCCCAGCGAUCCAACCCACCCGCACCCUUCCUGAGGGCCCUUCUGCUCCCAGGCCAAUCAACGCUUCCUUCUGAUGCCAUCUGAGUUCCCUCCAGGCCACUUUCAGGCUCAUGCCUCUUUGUGGCCAUUUUGAGAGUUGCGCUGAUUUCAGCCCUUGCAUUCAAUUGACUUCAACCAAAUUGGCUUUAGCUUUACAUUCAAUUAAUGUAAACCAAAUUGACUUUAGCUUUACAUUCAAUUGAUUUGAACCA